rnacentral:rRNA from 1 species
UCUGCAGAUUCGCCCUUACCCGCUGAUUUAAGCAUAUUAAUAAGCGGAGGAAAAGAAACUAACAAGGAUUCCCCUAGUAACGGCGAGUGAAGCGGGAUGAGCUCAAGCUUAAAAUCUCUGUGCCAGUUUGGCAUGGCGAAUUGUAGUCUAUGGAGGCGCUAUCAGUGCGAUUGUUCGGGGUAAGUUCCUUGGAAGAGGACAGCAUCGAGGGUGAUACUCCCGUAUGUACCUGUUCAGUCGCGCGUACGAUACGUUUUCUUUGAGUCGCGUUGUUUGGGAAUGCAGCGCAAAGUAGGUGGUAAAUUCCAUCUAAAGCUAAAUAUUGGUGCGAGACCGAUAGCGAACAAGUACCGUGAGGGAAAGAUGAAAAGAACUUUGAAAAGAGAGUUAAAGAGUACCUGAAACUGCUGAAAGGGAACCGAAUCGUUUCCAGUGUCUAUAAUCCAUGGUAUAUUUCAUUGGUGCGUAAGUGCGUGCAGCGUUUUGGAAGUAGUUUUCUGCUCCUGUCGUUGUUGUGCAUUUGCUUGCUGGUGCCCUGUGCUGUGGUGGGACGUCAGAGUCAGUUUGUAUGUUGCGGGAAAUGGUUAUUGGGGAGGUAGGUCACUUCGGUGGCUGUUAUAUCCUGAUAACUAGUCGUCGUGGCUGAGACUGAGGUGCCUACAAUGUGCUUUCGAGUCUGCGGGCUUCUCGUGUUGCUGUUUGCUUGGAUAGCUUGCUAUGUUUGUGAAUAAGUCGUGCGAUUGAGACCUGUAGUAACUGUGCCGUUCGGGACUUUGACGAAAUGGAGCGAUCCGACCCGUCUUGAAMCACGGA